CCCACUUUAAUAAGACCAGGGCAGGUGGGCAGGUGGGCAGGUGUGUGUCCCUCAUCGAGCCAGCUGCACACCAGAGCGAGAGCACGAGAGAGAGCGAGGAGAGGAAAGAAAGAAGGGGAGAGGGGGAUACAUGUAGAACGGGAUGAGUGGCAGGAGUUUAAGAGAGUAAAAGAGGUUCAGAGGAGACUUUCAAGGAUCUGUGGAGAGAGGGAACCAAGAAGGACAAGUACAGAUUAAGAAAAAAAAAGGAACAGAGAGAGGAGUGCAGUGAGGAGAGAAAAAGACAGCUUUUGCAGAGUGAGAGACUCCAAAUCUUUUUUCUCCCCAGGGUAUUUUCCUGAGCCUCACUCAUCAGUCUGGGCAGGAAUCGCUCGUCACUCUUUUCCUAGCUCCCUCCUCUCCCCCCGUUAUUCCCUCCUUUCUUCCCUCUCUCCCAGCCGUGGAGCGUCACGAGAGCCACGCGAUGAGAAUAGAAUGAGAAGGGGGAGAGAGAGAGAGAGAGAGUGAGAGUGAGCAAGAGAGGGAGAGAGGAACGAACCAGGGAAGCGAGAGACUUACACACACCACAAGCAUUGGAAAUUGAAGGAGUUGGUGUGCAGCUCGCAAGAAGGCAGAGUCUGUGUGGACGGGCCCAGGGGCUGCACAGCUCCAGUGCUCUCUCUGCUUCUAACGUGUGCUGAGCCCUGCUCUGCUCUGCUGUGCGCUCCACUACGCUCUACGCUGCUAGCCUGUGUGACUGGCUGUCUGCGCUCAGCUGAGAAAGAGAGAGAGAAAGGGAGAGCAACUACUACUGCUACAGAUGUGAGGCUUUCCCCAGUGCUGGCUAUACUAUACCGCUCCUGAGGACUCCCAGACGGUAAAUUGACAGAUUGGUGGUCCACGAUGAGAGCGGAGAGAUAAUCGCGCAGAGAGCAGCCCUCCCAUCCCUGUCGUUUGUGCCAAUGGAAGCAGCGUAUUGAUCCAUACUCCCAGACUCAUCAUGCCUCUGCCUCACAGAUAGCAUCUCUGAGGACCAGGCCUGCC
rnacentral:lncRNA from 1 species